CCGAUGGAUGGAUGGGCUUGGUGAAGCCUAUUUCCUGAGUCGUGAUGAGUGCUGGUUGAGAUGGCCCUAGCUGCCUCUUCGGACUGUGACAGACUCACCCAACAGCAGCACCCUGAACAUUCCACAGCCAGUGGAGCACAGGGGGUUAAGGAUUCAGAACCUUUCUCUCCAACAGAGGAGAAAAUAGUGCCACUUCCGGGGCACUUGAAGGACAGAUUGCUGGGGAUGGGACUGCAAUCGGGCCUCGGAGAGGGAGAAGUGAUUGCUGCCCUCAUUAAUAUUACUGCUGGCAAAGGCUGCGUGGGACUCAAUCAGGUGUGUGCCUUAGAGCUGGGAACAGCAAACAAAGCGCUUUGCCAAGUACUGGUGGUCACUACUGAAAGACCAAACAUGAGGAAGUGGUGUGGAAACGCCUGGAUUUAUUAUCAGAUGCCAUUGCCCCAGACACAGGAAGUAACUAAGAACAUGACACCCACAUUCCCAAGAGAGCAAGAUGGAAACACUGGGGCUGGAGAGAUGCCUCAGAGGUUAAGAGCAUUGACUGCUCUUCCAGAGGUCCUGAGUUCAAUUCCCAGCAACCACAUGGUGGCUCACAAGCAUCCGUUAUGAGAUCUGGUGCCCUCUUCUGUUGUGCAGAUAUACAUGGAAGCAGAAUGUUGUAUACAUAAUAAAUAAAUAAAAUCUAAAAAAAAAAAAAAAGAUGGGAACACUCAGCUCUUCCUGCUACUAUACUAUGUCUUCACUCUACCAUCAUGGACUCCAGCCCUCUGAAACCAUAAGGCAAAUUAAACACUUUCUUAU
rnacentral:lncRNA from 1 species